rnacentral:rRNA from 1 species
CACGUAGUUAGCCGGGGCUUCUUGGUCAGGUACCGUCAUCUUCUUCCCUGCCGAUAGGGCUUUACGCGCCGAAACGCUCCUUCACCCACGCGGCGUCGCUACAUCAGGGUUCCCCCCAUUGUGCAAUAUCCCCCACUGCUGCCUCCCGUAGGAGUCUGGGCCGUGUCUCAGUCCCAGUGUGGCCGUCCACCCUCUCAGGCCGGCUACUGAUCGUCGCCUUGGUAGGCCGUUACCCUGCCAACCAGCUAAUCAGACGCGGGCCCAUCCUGUACCACCGGGGUUUUCCGCGCCAUGCCAUGCGGCACGCCGCGCUUAUGCGGUAUUAGCACCUGUUUCCAGGUGUUAUCCCCCAGUACAGGGCAGGUUGCCCACGCGUUACUCACCCGUCCGCCACUCGCGCGGCGCCGCAGGGGCCGAGGCCCCUGCCGCACGCCGCGCCCGUUCGACUUGCAUGUGUUAGGCACGCCGCCAGCGUUCAUCCUGAGCCAGGACUCAAACUCUCUGAACUGACCG